AGACACGGCCCGGACUCCUACGGGAGGCAGCAGUGGGGAAUAUUGGACAAUGGGGGAAACCCUGAUCCAGCCAUGCCGCGUGUGUGAAGAAGGCCUUUUGGUUGUAAAGCACUUUAAGCAGUGAAGAAGACUCCGUGGUUAAUACCCACGGACGAUGACAUUAGCUGCAGAAUAAGCACCGGCUAACUCUGUGCCAGCAGCCGCGGUAAUACAGAGGGUGCAAGCGUUAAUCGGAAUUACUGGGCGUAAAGGGAGCGUAGGUGGCUCGAUAAGUCAGAUGUGAAAUCCCCGGGCUCAACCUGGGAACUGCAUCUGAUACUGUUGAGCUAGAGUAUGUGAGAGGAAGGUAGAAUUCCAGGUGUAGCGGUGAAAUGCGUAGAGAUCUGGAGGAAUACCGAUGGCGAAGGCAGCCUUCUGGCAUAAUACUGACACUGAGGCUCGAAAGCGUGGGUAGCAAACAGGAUUAGAUACCCUGGUAGUCCACGCCGUAAACGAUGUCUACUAGUCGUUGGGUCCCUUGAGGACUUAGUGACGCAGCUAACGCAAUAAGUAGACCGCCUGGGGAGUACGGCCGCAAGGUUAAAACUCAAAUGAAUUGACGGGGGCCCGCACAAGCGGUGGAGCAUGUGGUUUAAUUCGAUGCAACGCGAAGAACCUUACCUGGUCUUGACAUAUCUAGAAUCCUGCAGAGAUGCGGGAGUGCCUUCGGGAAUUAGAAUACAGGUGCUGCAUGGCUGUCGUCAGCUCGUGUCGUGAGAUGUUGGGUUAAGUCCCGCAACGAGCGCAACCCUUGUCCUUAGUUACCAGCGGGUUAAGCCGGGAACUCUAAGGAUACUGCCAGUGACAAACUGGAGGAAGGCGGGGACGACGUCAAGUCAUCAUGGCCCUUACGACCAGGGCUACACACGUGCUACAAUGGUAGGUACAGAGGGCAGCUACACAGCGAUGUGAUGCGAAUCUCAAAAAGCCUAUCGUAGUCCAGAUUGGAGUCUGCAACUCGACUCCAUGAAGUAGGAAUCGCUAGUAAUCGCGGAUCAGAAUGCCGCGGUGAAUACGUUCCCGGGCCUUGUACACACCGCCCGUCACACCAUGGGAGUUGAUUGCACCAGAAGUGGAUAGCUUAACCUUCGGGGGAGCGUUCACCACGGUGUGGUUGAUGACUGGGGUGAAGUCGUAACAAGGUAACCGUAA
rnacentral:rRNA from 1 species